rnacentral:rRNA from 1 species
GUCUACGGCCAUGCUGCCCUGAACAAGCCUGACCUUGUCUGAUCUCGGAAGCUAAGCAGGGUCAGGCCUGAUUAGUAAUUGGAUGGGAGACUACUUCAGAAUACCAGGUGCUGUAUGCA